AAAGCGUGCGCAGGCGGUUGUGUAAGUCAGAUGUGAAAUCCCCGGGCUCAACCUGGGAAUUGCAUUUGAGACUGCACGGCUAGAGUGUGUCAGAGGGGGGUAGAAUUCCACGUGUAGCAGUGAAAUGCGUAGAUAUGUGGAGGAAUACCGAUGGCGAAGGCAGCCCCCUGGGAUAACACUGACGCUCAUGCACGAAAGCGUGGGGAGCAAACAGGAUUAGAUACCCUAGU
rnacentral:rRNA from 1 species